UUUAUCACCAAGAACUUAUUUUAAUGGAAAUGGGUCUAAUGUCCCUUCAUGCAACAAGACAGAUGAACAAAAAACAAUGGUGACAGUGUGACAGUUUGAUUCAAGACAAGGCGUGAGAGUAAACAGCAGACCUCACCCUCCUCGGAGGGCGAACGCCUCCUGUGAGCUCCCGCACACUUGCAAAGUGGAAAGACAAUAAACAUUUCACAUACCGACUGGUUUGUCUACAGGUAACAUGCCCAAGUACUGCACGUGGAACUUCUGGACCAGCUCAGUCUUUGGUGUUGGAAAAUCUACUACAGGGAACAAAAGCAACACAUCUUUCUCAGUGGUUCCAACACACAUGUACACAACAGCCGUGGCUCUGCAUCAUCUGAAUGCUCAGGACACGCCCUGUGCCAUAACGCCCUAUGUUUCUGGAUGUAAAUGUAACAACUAUUCUACAAGAGCAGCAUUACUCCAGAUAUUGGGGCUCUG
ensembl:lncRNA novel transcript